rnacentral:rRNA from 1 species
GUUUUGCCCUUCUUGUCAGGAACCCGUUGGGAUUUACUUCUCGACGGUGGAAUGGCAUCGUUUACUGUGAAAAAAUUAGAGUGUUCAAAGCAGGCAUCGCCGUUGAAUACAUUAGCAUGGAAUAAUAAGAUAAGACUUUGGUGGUCUAUUUUGUUGGUUUGCACGCCAAAGUAAUGAUUAAUAGGGAUAGUUGGGGGUAUUCGUAUUCUAUUGCUAGAGGUGAAAUUCUUAAAUUUAUGGAAGACGAACUACUGCGAAAGCAUUUACCAAGGAUGUUUUCAUUAAUCAAGAACGAAAGUUAGGGGAUCGAAGAUGAUUAGAUACCAUCGUAGUCUUAACCAUAAACUAUGCCGACUAGGGA